rnacentral:hammerhead_ribozyme from 2 species
AGCCGAAACGGUUCGAAAGGACCGUCAACCGGGAAUGACCGCCCGGUUCUGAUGAUGGCAGGUCAGA